rnacentral:lncRNA from 1 species
GGGGUUCAAGGUUGUAUUCAGACUUAGAGAUUGUCCCCCUGAAAGACCAAACACAGACUUCCUCAGGGUUUGAGGGCCUCUUUAUCAGACCCAGGUCUAUGAGAAUGUGUGUGUGUGUGUGUGUGUGUGUGUGUGUGUGUGUGUGUGUGUGUGUGUGUGCGUGCGUACUGGUGGUCCCUCGUUGGGUGGGAGAUUGACGGGUGCACUCAUAGCAACAUGCUGGAUUCAAAGUCAAAUGGGCUUAUUCUCAGGCCUGACUGUAACGACGACGGGCCUGGGAGGCGGCUUAGUAGACGCGAUGCGUUUGUGGGACUGACUGCUGGACUACGGUUGCUGUGUUGGAGGAAAGUUUCAUGUGUACCAGUCCUGUGUUCUGAAGGAACGGCUGUGAGGACAACAACCAGAGGUGAUGCGUGGCCCCCAGUGGCAUCACCUGAACGCCCCCUGGGAAAUGACCCAGGAUGAGGAUCACCACGCAACUCCUCAAGUGGCUCCAAGCCCCCAAAUAAUUACGGGGGGGGUUGUCCAGUUGUUCCUGGCUGAAGGGUAGUCGAUACUGGAAUUUGGGCAAGUUGCACUGUAUGUUCGCCAGCGACUGUGGAGGCGGGGCAGCGAAUGUCCAAGAGUCUUCCACCGAAAAUAAACCUGCAUGAGGGAGAAGCGGGGAGAGAGAGAGAGAGAGAGAGAGAGAGAGAGGGAGAGAGAGGGGAGGGAGGAGGAGGAAGGCAAAGAGGCUUUCAGCGGGGACAGGAGGACAGUCUCCGUUUCAAUGGAAUAAAAACUGCGCAAUUUCUUUAAGGAGCGCUUGGCCGGAUCGCGGGGGGACCAUUCCGCCGCGCGAGACGGAUGUUAGUUGCUUUCGGGCGCUUCGGGAAUCCGCGGCCGCUGCAACGCUCGCUUCCAGAUUUUUACCAGAUGGUGUUCAUGGGAGGAGAGAGGGAAAAGGAGAGAGAGCCGUGCAACCAUCCAGAAAGGCGCGAUGACUGUGCAGAGAUGCGGGAUCAGGGAUGAGUGCGUCCGUCAUGCCUUGCCCAUGGGCGAAGCACACCCCCCCCCCUCCCCAGCUCGGGCUGCGAUCUUUUUCUGCGUGUGUCGACGUUUGCACCCGGACUCGUUUCUAGACGUCCACCGGGCUUCGGUGUUUUUUGGAGGGGAGAGGGCUGCGUCAUUCCCGGCGGGAGACGGAGAUGGACCGCUGUGCACAUUUCCCCACUAUUACACAGGUCCAACACGGCACCUCGCGGCACCUCCCCGGCACGUUUCCGAUCGCACACAGGAGAAUGGGAAUAAGCACCAUGGCCCAUUAUCGCCGCGCUGCGUUUGA